CUCCUCUCAAGGUCGCACCUGGGGAGUUUCCAGUCCGCUACCAGUCACGACUACAAGAGGGAGAGUCAAGCAGAGGCCUAUCCAUUCCAUUCCUAGCUUGGGCAGUGGCUAGUGAGUGGAAGACAAUCCGUUACAAGG